CGUGGUUUGUUUUUUCCGCGUUCAAACCAUGGUAAGAUUGUGUGUAUUUGUCGUGACGUUAACGCUGCUGGUUUGUUGGUGCGGCCCCGCACAAGGACAGUUGGACAUUUUACGAUGUCCGAUGGGCGACACGCCGUAUCCGGUAAGGUUUUGUCGUCACUAUACCGAUUGCUACAGAAGUGAGUUCUGCCAUUACUUCAUCCCAUGGUGGAGAUAUGGAAUAUGUUGUCCAAGGGCCAUACCAUGACGUUGAAACAGACGAAUAUUAAGACGUUCAAAAUAAACAACCAAAAGAAAUAUA